GCGCGACCCUACAUGCACGAAAGUGUGAUAGGGGGACCCUGAGUGCUCAGCCUUGCUGGGCUUUUGCCAAGUGUAAAAAACUCGGCGAAUAAGUGGUGGGUAAGACAGGUGCCAGCCGCCGCGGUAACACCUGCGCCACAAGUGGUAAUCGUUGUUAUUGGGCCUAAAGCGUCCGUAGCAGGUCUAGUAAAUCUUUUGUGAAAUUGUUGCGCUCAACGUAACAGCGUGCAAGAGACACUGCAAGACUUGGGACCGGGAGGAGUCAGAGGUAUUCCAUGGGGAGCGGUAAAAUGCUAUAAUCCAUGGAGGACCACCUAUGGCGAAGGCAUCUGACCAGAACGGAUCCGACUGUGAGGGACGAAGGCUAGGGGAGCGAACCGGAUUAGAUACCCGAGUAGUCCUAGCUGUAAACGCUGCGGGCUAGGUGUCGCGCAAUCUCCGAGAUUGCGCAGUAUCGAAGCGAAGGCGAUAAGCCCGCCGCCUGGGAAGUACGGUCGCAAGGCUGAAACUUAAAGGAAUUGGCGGGGGAGCACAAGCCGAA
rnacentral:rRNA from 1 species